ACAAAAUACCAAUUAGCUCCAGAGGCUUUACCCACAAAACUGGCUGGAACAUUGACUAUUGGCUACAACAAUCCACAAAACCACCAAGAUAACAGGUUUAAAUAGUUUUCAUAAGCUCAAUCACUACAAGGAGAGGUUGUGUACCUUGGAUAUCUGUCGGAUUUUCAGGUCAAUUGGAAAGGACAGUUAAAGUUUGUUGGCUACAAGGAUGACGUUGUCAUCAUGGUGUGUUUCUGUUCAGGGUGCAUGUAGUAUGCUGCCAAAAUACCAGGUAACUUGGUAUGUUCAGGGGACCUCUGCUAGAUGUGAUGGAGCUGCCGUUCUCACCACUAAAUGUCUUGAAAAGCCAUUGCAAUGUCAGGACUUUGACCUUGCACUGGUCACAUGGCGGACUUAAACUUGAUUUGUGGGGAUGAAGAGGAGUCAUAGACGGUUGAGCACCUAUUGUGAGACUGUCCUGAUUGCGAGAGGAGCUUCUCCAGACCUCCUGGCCGUUUUGUCAUGCAUGUUGGCUACUAAUCUUCUUCAUUUUAAUGUCUGGCAUUGUACUGAUGUAAAUUUUAUCAGUGUUCUUCUGCGCUUUUUGAACCUUUCGGGGCCGACACAAUAACUUAAGUUCCCUGAGUGAAACUGAUAGUGAAUGAGGUUGCUAAAUGCCAUUAUAUACCCUAAGUUUAUAAAUCAUAACAGCAGCAAACACAAUUUAUAAAUUAUUUAUUUUGAAGUUUAUGUAUAUUUUUGUACGGCGAAUUCAAACGUGAGUUGACAUAUCAAAUUCUCUCAGCUGGAUUGAGGCGGCCAUCUGAUAAAUACGCCUUGCAAGUGCGUAUAUGACAUUUACAACUUUUUGACAGCCGAAAACCUAAAAAAUCGUCAUACGGACCAUCUCUUGAUAUGAGAGAAGUUUGCCGAUGUGCCUUAAUGGAAUGUCAAUUGGCAAUUUGCAACUUAUAAAUAUUCAUACUUAUUGAAGAAGUACGAAAUACGCUUUAAGUGCCUUAAUCAAAAUUGAUAUCAGCUAAGUUUGGGCAAAUAAAUUAUAAACCCAAAAAACAAAUAGACAUUAUCAGUUUUGUAUUUGAAAAUAAGCUCUCCAAUUUUUUGUAAAAUUGACCAAAACACAGUCAACAAAAAGUCUUUAAUAUUUAUUCA
rnacentral:sRNA from 1 species